rnacentral:rRNA from 1 species
AGUGAACGCUGGCGGUAGGCCUAACACAUGCAAGUCGAACGGCAGCACAGUAAGAGCUUGCUCUUACGGGUGGCGAGUGGCGGACGGGUGAGGCAUACAUCGGAAUCUACUUUUUCGUGGGGGAUAACGUAGGGAAACUUACGCUAAUACAGCAUACGACCUACGGGUGAAAGCAGGGGAUCUUCGGACCUUGCGCGAUUGAAUGAGCCGAUGUCGGAUUAGCUAGUUGGCGGGGUAAAGGCCCACCAAGGCGACGAUCCGUAGCUGGUCUGAGAGGAUGAUCAGCCACACUGGAACUGAGACACGGUCCAGACUCCUACGGGAGGCAGCAGUGGGGAAUAUUGGACAAUGGGCGAAAGCCUGAUCCAGCCAUACCGCGUGGGUGAAGAAGGCCUUCGGGUUGUAAAGCCCUUUUGUUGGGAAAGAAAAGCAGCAGGUUAAUACCCCGCUGUUCUGACGGUACCCAAAGAAUAAGCACCGGCUAACUUCGUG